rnacentral:misc_RNA from 1 species
UGCUUUCGUUGCACACCACCUCUUUCCUCUCUGCAUCCCAGAGCAUCGGCACCGUAGCUCGCCCGCUGUAACCUCCUCUUGUUAUCCCGUAAACCUCCUUCAAAGUCUUGCGUCCGUUUGCUUUGUCCUUACCCGGUACAAGGACAUCCUUGUCCGCGUUUCGUGUGCUCUGAAAUUCCCAGGAACCGUCUUGGCCCGGUGCUGCGAUCGACACCGGAAUUGCAUCUUCUAGGCCUUUGAGAGCUCUGACUAUGAGGGUCCGAUGGGCCCAGGGGCAGGGAAGGCCCACGUAGAGGUGUAAGGUCGUUGGAUUUCGGCGGGAAUAUUGAGAAUUGCUGA